rnacentral:tRNA from 1 species
GGGGUUGUGGCUCAGUGGUUGAGCACUCACUUCCCAUGUGCAGGACCCUGGGUUCAAGCCUCAGCACCACA